rnacentral:rRNA from 1 species
AUUGAACGCUGGCGGCAGGCCUAACACAUGCAAGUCGAGCGAGCGGCGGACGGGUGAGUAAUUUAUGGGGAUCUGCCCGAUAGAGGGGGAUAACUACUGGAAACGGUUGCUACUACCGCAUACUAUAGGAUGCUCCCAUAUGGGAUUAGCUAGUUGGUGGGGUAACGGCUCACCUAGGCGACGAUCUAUAGCUGGUCUGAGAGGAUGAUCAGCCACGCUGGGACUGAGACACGGGCCAGACUCCUACGGGAGGCAGCAGUGGGGAAUAUUGCGCAAUGGGCGCAAGCCUGAUGCAGCCAUGCCGCGUGUGUGAAGAAGGCCUUAGGGUUGUAAAGUACUUUCAGCGGGGAGGCGUUACCCGCAGAAGAAGCACCGGCUAACUCCGUGCCAGCCGCCGCGGUAAGAC